rnacentral:sRNA from 1 species
UGGAAAUGAUGUAUUUGAGAAAUUGACUCUGUAUGACAAUGUAAAAGGUCAUCAACUUAAUUUUUCCCCAAAGUUGGCUGGCUUUAAAACAACCUGUAUUACUUGUGUGUGUGUGUGUGUGUGUGUGUGUGUAUGUCCCCUGAGCCCUGCUAAAUGCCUCCUA